AUUGAACGCUGGCGGCAUGCCUUACACAUGCAAGUCGAACGGUAACGCGGGGCAACCUGGCGACGAGUGGCGAACGGGUGAGUAAUGCAUCGGAACGUGCCCAGUAGUGGGGGAUAGCCCGGCGAAAGCCGGAUUAAUACCGCAUACGACCUACGGGUGAAAGGGGGGGAUCGCAAGACCUCUCGCUAUUGGAGCGGCCGAUGUCAGAUUAGGUAGUUGGUGGGGUAAAGGCCCACCAAGCCUUCGAUCUGUAGCUGAUCUGAGAGGACGACCAGCCACACUGGGACUGAGACACGGCCCAGACUCCUACGGGAGGCAGCAGUGGGGAAUUUUGGACAAUGGGCGCAAGCCUGAUCCAGCCAUGCCGCGUGCGGGAAGAAGGCCUUCGGGUUGUAAACCGCUUUUGUCAGGGAAGAAACGCUCUGGGCUAAUACCUCGGGGUAAUGACGGUACCUGAAGAAUAAGCACCGGCUAACUACGUGCCAGCCGCCGCGGUAACAC
rnacentral:rRNA from 1 species